GAAAAUUGUCAUGAUGUGAUCAAUCUACUUGGUUCUUCAGAUCGUGACUUUCUUAUUCGCAACAAUGGUGACAAGGUUAAGCUUGAUACUUUAAAGGAGAAAAAAAUUGGUUUCUACUUUUCAGCAUCAUGGUGUGGUCCGUGCAAACAUUUCACCCCAAAUUUGGUAGAGGCGUACAAUGCUCUCCUACCAAAAGGAGACUUUGAAGUUGUUUUCCUUACUGCUGAUAUGGAUGAUGAAUCUUUUAAGGAGUACUUUUCUAAAAUGCCUUGGCUCGCUGUCCCAUUCUCUGAUUCUGAAACACGUAAACGUUUGAAUGAAUUGUUUGCUGUUAGGGGAAUACCCCACUUAGUGAUCCUUGAUGCU
rnacentral:misc_RNA from 1 species